rnacentral:rRNA from 1 species
GUCAGCGGCAGACGGGUGAGUCACGCGUGGGAACGUACCUUUUGGUUCGGAACAACACAGGGAAACUUGUGCUAAUACCGGAUCAGCCCUUACGGGGAAAGAUUUAUCGCCGAAAGAUCGGCCCGCGUCUGAUUAGCUAGUUGGUGAGGUAAUGGCUCACCAAGGCGACGAUCAGUAGCUGGUCUGAGAGGAUGAUCAGCCACAUUGGGACUGAGACACGGCCCAAACUCCUACGGGAGGCAGCAGUGGGGAAUAUUGGACAAUGGGCGCAAGCCUGAUCCAGCCAUGCCGCGUGAGUGAUGAAGGCCCUAGGGUUGUAAAGCUCUUUUGUGCGGGAAGAUAAUGACGGUACCGCAAGAAUAAGCCCCGGCUAACUUCGUGCCAGCAGCCGCGGUAAUACGAAGGGGGCUAGCGUUGCUCGGAAUCACUGGGCGUAAAGGGUGCGUAGGCGGGUCUUUAAGUCAGGGGUGAAAUCCUGGAGCUCAACUCCAGAACUGCCCUUGAUACUGAGGAUCUUGAGUUCGGGAGAGGUGAGUGGAACUGCGAGUGUAGAGGUGAAAUUCGUAGAUAUUCGCAAGAACACCAGUGGCGAAGGCGGCUCACUGGCCCGAUACUGACGCUGAGGCACGAAAGCGUGGGG